UCUCUUCUUAGGAAUCUAUUUUUCAGAAAUUAUAUUUUUAGAAGAAAAAAUGUUUUUCGCGAACCAAACAAGCCUAGGGUAAUUGGCAAAGCCUUGCCCAGAUCAAGACACUCACAGCUUAUACCGCUACUCCUAGGAGAUGAUGGGACUGUUCCACCCACUGCUUUGUCAUAGCUCAUACAUAGUAUCGUGUCGUAUACUCGUAUGGUCCUGCUCCUCCAAGGAGAUCACGGGAUUGUUCCACACACUGCUUCGUCAUAGCGCAUACACGUGAUGCUAUACGUGUGGUAUGGUCCUAGUGAUGUCUACAAGGAGGAAUGUUUUAUUAUGAAGAAGAUAUAUAUUAGGUUCAAUUCCACUGCCUGGUAUUUUUUGAGAUAAACCGUUAUAUGUUUCUGAGGUUCCGGAGUUGAAAACCAAAAGCCGCAGUCAGCACCGUGGUCUCCACCCUCCUUUUGUCCAUAUAAAGUAGCAAACCUUUGUCAUGGGGGCAGUAAUCAAUCCUCCUUUUGUCCUCGUCCAAGAUACUCUUUUUAUUUAUUAUUUAUUUAUCCCCCUUCA
rnacentral:lncRNA from 1 species